rnacentral:lncRNA from 7 species
ACAGCCUUGCAAUGGAGAAGUGAAAGCUUGAGUAUUUUGCUAAUUAGCAUAAACUACAUCAACUUGGCAGAUUUGCAUAAUGUGGAGACCUCAGCUCAUAGGUGACAGGUGUUUCUGAUUACACCAGAUGAGAUAUAUGGAGUGCUGAAGGGUGAAAAGAAGAUGGAAAAGCUCCUGAUAAAGAGGAAAUAAAGCUGGAUGAGGAUUAUCUCAAAAGGUCAUUGCUGAAAAAGAUGACUCCCUAAAAUCAUGAUGAAAAGUUACUCUAACUGCUGUGCUUUGUUGGAAGACUUCUUGAGGGUAUCACCAUGACUAUGGCUGCUGCUGCUGCUUGUUUGUGUUGUAGACUUACCCUUACUGCAAGAAUAUUUGGGAAAAGGCAGAGAAAAAUUGUAUGAAGUUACCUAUGAACAAGUUGACCUGUGGACCCUGCCAAAAAAAAUUUUCCAUGUGAACUUGAGUUUGCAAGGCCCUUUUUUGAGUCCCGAAAACUCUGCGUUCUGAAAAAGGACAUCUGUGAUAAGAUGGAACUUGGCACCAGUAACUCAUGUACUAUGGGUGAAGCAUGCUCAGAAGAGGCAGACCCAGAGGUAGUCCUGAAUCUUGUAAAUGGCUCUGGGUGAAUCUGAAGAACUGCAUGUGAUUUGUCAGGCGUUUUUAAGAUAAAUGGUAAAACUGAACUGGAAAUCCAUCUGGCCAGCUGCCUGAUCUAAUGAAUAACCCCACUUUGGCUCCUGCAAUGUAAGCAGAAAGAGUUCUCUCCCGGCCGCUUUCGUCUGUCAUGAAUCUACAAGACAGCCGACAUAAUAUCUGGGCGACAACAGCGUGCUAACAGUGCAGUGACUUCCAUUUUCUUUGCUUUCUAUUGAUUUUCACUUAAUAACUGGCGAAAUACUAAACGUCCGCCCUGAGUACCUAAUAAAUCCUGCCUGAGCUUUUUAUUGAGGAGAAUUUAAUAAAAACAACCAUUG